GCCAGUGUGGCUCAGUGGACAGAGCGUUAGCCUGUGGACUGAAGGGUCCCAGGUUCGAUCCCGGUCAAGGGCA
rnacentral:tRNA from 1 species